rnacentral:rRNA from 1 species
GACAUAGGUGGCGAACGUUAUCCGGAAUUAUUGGGCGUAAAGGAUGCGUAGAUGGUUCAAUAAGUUACUGGUGGGAAAUCGAGGCUCAACCUCGUGGAAGUUGGUAAUACUGUUGAACUUGAGUGCAGGAGAGGUUAACGGAACUUUAUGUGGAGCGGUAAAAUGCGUAGAUAUAUGAAAGAACACCAAUAUAGCGAAGGCAGUUAACUAUUCUGCUACUGACAUUGAGGCAUGAAAGCGUGGGGAGCAAAACGG